AAAUUGAAGAGUUUGAUCAUGGCUCAGAUUGAACGCUGGCGGCAGGCCUAACACAUGCAAGUCGAACGGUAACAGGAAGCAGCUUGCUGCUUCGCUGACGAGUGGCGGACGGGUGAGUAAUGUCUGGGAAACUGCCUGAUGGAGGGGGAUAACUACUGGAAACGGUGGCUAAUACCGCAUAACGUCGCAAGACCAAAGAGGGGGACCUUCGGGCCUCUUGCCAUCAGAUGUGCCCAGAUGGGAUUAGCUUGUUGGUGAGGUAACGGCUCACCAAGGCGACGAUCCCUAGCUGGUCUGAGAGGAUGACCAGCCACACUGGAACUGAGACACGGUCCAGACUCCUACGGGAGGCAGCAGUGGGGAAUAUUGCACAAUGGGCGCAAGCCUGAUGCAGCCAUGCCGCGUGUAUGAAGAAGGCCUUCGGGUUGUAAAGUACUUUCAGCGGGGAGGAAGGUGUUGCGGUUAAUAACCGCAGCAAUUGACGUUACCCGCAGAAGAAGCACCGGCUAACUCCGUGCCAGCAGCCGCGGUAAUACGGAGGGUGCAAGCGUUAAUCGGAAUUACUGGGCGUAAAGCGCACGCAGGCGGUCUGUCAAGUCGGAUG
rnacentral:rRNA from 2 species